rnacentral:rRNA from 1 species
UCCAGACUCCUACGGGAGGCAGCAGUCGGGAAUAUUGCGCAAUGGAGGAAACUCUGACGCAGUGACGCCGCGUGCAGGAAGAAGGUUUUCGGAUUGUAAACUGCUUUAGACAGGGAAGAAAAAAGACAGUACCUGUAGAAUAAGCUCCGGCUAACUACGUGCCAGCAGCCGCGGUAAUACGUAGGGAGCAAGCGUUAUCCGGAUUUACUGGGUGUAAAGGGAGCGUAGACGGCGGCGCAAGUCCGGAGUGAAAGCCCACGGCCCAACCGUGGGACGGCUCUGGAAACUGGGCGGCUUGAGUGCGGGAGGGGCAGGCGGAAUUCCUAGUGUAGCGGUGAAAUGCGUA